rnacentral:rRNA from 1 species
AGAGCGCAGGGUGGAUGCCUUGGCACUAAGAGCCGAAGAAAGACGUGAUAAGCUGCGAAAAGCUGCGGGGAGAUGCAAAUAAUCCUUGAUCCGCAGAUGUCUGAAUGGGGAAACCCGGUACGAAGAACUCGUAUCAUCCAUACGCCAAUCCAUAACGUAUGGAGGGGAACCCGGUGAACUGAAACAUCUAAGUAGCCGGAGGAAGAGAAAGAAACAUCGAUUUUGUUAGUAGCGGCGAGCGAAAGCGAAAGAGGCCAAACCGGAGUGCGUGCACUCCGGGGUUCGGACCGCAUUUAAGAUUCAGUAAUCCUAGCAGAAAGGUUUGGGAAAGCCUGCCGGAGAGGGUGAAAGCCCCGUAAGCGAAAGGAAAACUGACUGAGCGGGAUCCAGAGUACAUCGAGACACGAGAAACCUUGAUGGAAUGAGCGGGGACCACCCCGUAAGCCUAAAUACUACUUAGUGACCGAUAGCGCAUAGUACUGUGAAGGAAAGGUGAAAAGGACCCCGGGAGGGGAGUGAAAGAGAACCUGAAACCCUGUGUUUACAAGCUGUGGAAGUUCUUUAAAUGAACAACCGCGUACUUUUUGUAGAACGGUCCGGCGAGUUGCGGAUACUGGCAAGGUUAAGCACUUAAGGUGCGGAGCCGAAGGGAUACCAAGUCUUAACAGGGCGUUAAGUCAGUAUACGCAGACCCGAAACCGGGUGAUCUAUCCAUGUCCAGGUUGAAGUUGUCGUAAAAGACAAUGGAGGACCGAAGCCACAUCCGUUGAAAAGGGUGGGCAUGAGGUGUGGAUAGGGGAGAAAUUCCAAUCGAACCCGGAGAUAGCUGGUUCUCCUCGAAAUAGCUUUAGGGCUAGCCUCGAUUUAGUCUUAUGGAGGUAGAGCACUGAAUUUCCGCGGGGGCGUCAAAGCUUACCAAAGAAUAUCAAACUCCGAAUGCCAUGUAGAUGAUGAUCGGGAGUCAGACUGCACGAGAUAAGUUGGGCAGUCAAAAGGGAAAGAGCCCAGACCACCGGCUAAGGUCCCAAAGUGCGUGUUAAGUGGAAAAGGAUGUGGGAAUUCGAAGACAACUAGGAUGUUGGCUCAGAAGCAGCCAUACAUUCAAAGAGUGCGUAACAGCUCACUAGUCGAGAGUUCCUGCGCCGAAAAUGUCCGGGGCUGAAACACGACACCGAAGCCGUGGACUCGCAAUGCGAGUGGUAGAGGAGCAUUCUUAAAACCGACGAAGCUGUACCGAAAGGAGCAGUGGAGGGAUAAGAAGAGAGAAUGCCGGAAUGAGUAGCGAGAGAAAGGUGGGAAUCCUUUCGGCCGAAUAUCUAAGGUUUCCAGAGUAAAGCUGAUCUGCUCUGGGUAAGUCGGGGCCUAAGCACAGGUCGCAAGACGUAAGCGAUGGAUAACAGGUUUAGAUUCCUGUACCACGCAUUAUCAGAACUGUAGGGACGCAUGUGGAAAGCACGGGCCGGGAAUGGAAAGACCGGUACAAGCGGGGUAGGUGUACGAUAGGCAAAUCCGUUGUAUAAUCCGAAGACGUGAUGUGGAGCGAAAUAAAGUAGCAAAGCGUGUGAGCCAUGUGCCGAGAAAAGCUGCUAUUGUGUAAUGCGUGCCCGUACCGUAAACCGACACAGGUGGAUGAGGAGAGAAUCCUAAGGCCGACGGAAGAAGCAUUGUUAAGGAAUUCGGCAAAAUGACCCCGUAACUUCGGGAGAAGGGGUGCCUGCGAGAGCAGGCCGCAGAGAAUAGGCUCAAGCAACUGUUUAGCAAAAACACAGGUCUAUGCGAAACCGAAAGGUGAAGUAUAUGGGCUGACGCCUGCCCGGUGCUGGAAGGUUAAGAGGAGAGGUUAGCGCAAGCGAAGCUUUGAAUUUAAGCCCCAGUAAACGGCGGCCGUAACUAUAACGGUCCUAAGGUAGCGAAAUUCCUUGUCGGGUAAGUUCCGACCCGCACGAAAGGCGUAAUGAUUUGAGCACUGUCUCGACAAUGCAUCCGGUGAAAUUGAAGUACCAGUGAAGAUGCUGGUUACCCGCGCCAGGACGGAAAGACCCCAUGGAGCUUUACUCCAGUUUGAUACUGGGAUUCGGUACUGCAUGUACAGGAUAGGUGGGAGACGAAGAAGGAUGGACGCCAGUCUGUCCGGAGUCGCUGUUGGGAUACCACCCCUGUAGUACUGGGUUUCUAACCAGUCACCGUGAACCGGUGAUGGGACAAUGUCAGGCGGGGAGUUUGACUGGGGCGGUCGCCUCCGAAAGGGUNNNNNNNNNNUUGCCAUAAACUGGCAAUGGGACAAUGUCAGGCGGGGAGUUUGACUGGGGCGGUCGCCUCCGAAAGGGUAUCGGAGGCGCUCAAAGGUUCCCUCAGAAUGGUUGGAAACCAUUUGAAGAGUGCAAAGGCAGAAGGGAGCUUGACUGCGACACCGACGGGUGGAGCAGGUACGAAAGUAGGACUUAGUGAUCCGGUGGUAUAAAGUGGGAUUGCCAUCGCUCAACGGAUAAAAGCUACCCUGGGGAUAACAGGCUUAUCACUCCCAAGAGUUCACAUCGACGGAGUGGUUUGGCACCUCGAUGUCGGCUCAUCGCAUCCUGGGGCUGUAGCAGGUCCCAAGGGUUGGGCUGUUCGCCCAUUAAAGCGGUACGCGAGCUGGGUUCAGAACGUCGUGAGACAGUUCGGUCCCUAUCCGGCGCGGGCGGAGGAUAUUUGAGAGGAGCUGUCCUUAGUACGAGAGGACCGGGAUGGACGGACCACUGGUGUAUCUGUUGUCGACCAACGGCAUGGCAGAGUAGCCAAGUCUGGAAGGGAUAAACGCUGAAGGCAUCUAAGCGUGAAGCCCCCCUCAAGAUGAGAUAUCCCUCCUUCGGGAGUAAGACCCCUUGAAGACUACAAGGUAGAUAGGGCAGAGGUGGAAGCAUGGCAACAUGUGGAGCUGACUGUUACUAAUAGGUCGAGGGCUUAAUCU